rnacentral:lncRNA from 1 species
UUUUAAAUGAAUUACAUAUUUAUUAUAGUAUCAUAUAUAAAAUUAAUAUGUUUACCAAAUAGAAGUAACAAAACAAAAGGUAAAGCUGCAACCUUAUUAAUUAGGCCUCCAAGGUCUCUCAGCAAUGAAGGUAGGGACAAUCCGCAGCUGACUAGAGAAAGUACCAGUCUAGGCUUUGAAGAGAGAGAUAGUGUUACGAGUACCAUAGAACUUUUAUCUCUGAGGUAUCAGUCAACUUUUAUCCCUGAGAUUUCCCCCAGUUCCCAUUGACCAGAAUAUUGGGUUAUUUAGAAACUAGGAGACAUUCUAUCACCGGGAACAAAUUGGCGCCUGCUGGCCUGGUGGAAGGUACACUCAAAACUAUGGCACUAUGCUUCAUAAAUUUGAAAGCAAUAAUUCAUAUUGUCAGAUAUUCCUUAGACAAAUCACAAUUCAUUUUUAACACUUCCAAAUAUAUAUUUUAAAUGUCAUUCUUUUAGAUUUUCAAAAGAUAAAAGAUUAAAAUUUAUAUUGCCCUUUUUUAAUCUUAAGGAAUUUUCAUUUAUUUGAUUUAAUACCGUAUUUACUUGCAUAAUUUUCUUUCAUCAGUUUAUAUAAAGAUUAAAGAAAAUUUUUCUGUUAUAUUUUCUCAAGCAAAAAAUCUUAUCUAAGU